GUGCCCUUCAAGGUUGAUGUAAUGUUUUAAGAGACUAACACAGAAGGGUAGAGUGAGUCUCCAUAAAAACCAGGGAACAGAUUGUAAAACUCUUGCAUGGAUCCUGUUUGCAGUCACAGCU